ensembl:lncRNA
AUAAUGUAAUAAUGGUGCUAGUUAUCCACUGCCUCGUUUGACGUUUGUCACACACUUGAUGCUGGGAGAAUGCAGGAAAAGAAAGGCAGAUCACUGUAGGCUAUAACAAUCUCAUUUUAUUCUCUACUCCGAACAAUCAAUUUAAAAUGAACAGUCCUCACAGGUUCCAUUAUUAUAAAAGGCCAAAUGUUUACGUCAUAUCUCCGCAUACAGUAAUAGAAAGGAUACAUGACAUUCUAAAUCAGAUAAUAUACUAAUAAUGAAAGCUGUUCCUGUAAAACCACUCUGCAACAUUCCUCGGGCGUUCACACAAAGACAAAUUUAUUCCUUCCAUUCAUUAAUAUCAUAUUUACUGCCCAAUAGUUUUGCUCCGCUGCUCAGUUUCACACUCUGUCUGCACUCAACCUCCAAUUCCAAAUUCAUCCUCUCUGCACCUUUCUUCCUCUUUCCCUCGCUCCCUGUCUCCUGCUAUCCUGAAGUGGUUACGUUUCAUUUUUGGUUUCUCGAAAGAAAACUUCCUUUUGCCUCAGUUACCACUAUAGAGGUUGCAGUGGUUGGAGCAUUCCAGAAAGCCUAGCUGUGUUUGUGAUACCUUGAUGGCUUUCUCGCACCAUCAGAGGAUUAAACUGAAUUCACAUUGAUUUGAAAGAUGGCUUCUUUUUUCAGACUGCCUGGGUGAUCUCAGUGCUGAGACCGUCCGCCAUGUCAGAGACUGCGUCGGGAACAUCGCGGACAUCCCCACUCAGGUUUGCCUCCUUUUUCAGUUCAGAGUCACUCUGCAUCUUGAUAGGCAUCUCGUCGGACUUUUCAUUACCGUUAACACAUUCCUCUAUCUGUGGGACGGAUGAAUGUGUGCACUCUCCAUUCACAGCUGGACGUGCAUCUACUUCCACCACAUCCUCAGUACCAGAAGGGCUCUUUAUAUCUCCGUUCUCCAUCUUGUUUACUACCUCGGGCUCCGGGAGAGACGCCUCUUCCACGGGGGCCUCAGCUACCUCUUCAUACUCAGCAGUAAUUUCGGUGGCAGAGACGGACUCUGAGAUGACUAUCUGAGGGACAGGUUCUGCUGCUUCUGGCUCAGAUGCUGCCUCUGGUACUGAUUGGUCUUCUGCAGGCUGAUAAUCAGUGGCCACAAGCUCAACUGCUUCUGCUUCCACAUUCUCAACUUCAGUAACCUCAGUUACCUUGAUUGGUUCUGGUGCAAAUUCUCCUACAUGUUCAUCUGCUGCAGAUUCUAUUGCAUCGGCCACCUGGUCAGGCUCUGGCUGUAGUACUUGCUCUGGUUCUGGCUCUGGUAAUUGUUCAAGCUCCGGCUCUGGUGCUUCUGCUUCACAUUCGGGCUCGGACGCUUCUACUGAUUCUUGUCGUGGCUCUGACUCAAGCUCUGCUGCCGGCUCUGGUUCUGGGGCUUGCUCCAGCACUGGCUCUGCAGCUUGCUCAGCCAUUGGCUCAGAUUCCAGGACAGCCGCGGGGACCAUUGUCGCCUCCGAAGUGGCUUCUCGCUCAGUAACAGUCUCUGGGAUUGUCUCUGGCUUGAGUGCUUCCACUGUGCUGACAGGAACCGCCUCUGGCUCUGGAACAAUUUGUACAGCUUCUACAAUGACCUCUUCAGGUGCAGCUUCACACUCAACCUUAAUGGCCUCAGGUUCUUCUCCUGCUACUGCUGUUGUAACCUCUGGGAGCUCUACUGGAAGCUCUUCUGGGAGCUCUACUGCGGCCUGUUCCUCUACAACUGAUGCUGACUUCAUUGCUACUGCAGCUGGUUCCUCUGUUGCCAUAACAGGUUCUUCCACUGCUGCAGCUGGUUUCCCUGCUGGUAGAGCUGGUUCCUCUACUGGUGCAGCUAGUUCUUGUGUAACUGCAGCUGCCUUCUCUUCGGCAAGAAUUUCUUCUUCUACUGCAGGCGCUUGUUCUUGUGCCACUGGAGCUGCCUUCUCUUCUGCAGGAGCUUUUUUUUCUACAGCAGGAGCUGCCUCCUCUGGAGCUGCAGGAGCUGGUACCUCUGGUGCUGCAGGAGCUGGUUCCUCUGGAGCUGCAGCAGCUGGUUCCUCUGGAGCUGCAGCAGCUGGUUCCUCUGGAGCUGCAGCAGCUGGUUCCUCUGGAGCUAAAGGAGCUGAUGCCUCUGGAGCUAAAGGAGCUGAUACCUUCAGAGGUGCAGAAGGUGGUUCCUCUGGAGGUGCAGGAGCUAGUUCCUCUGGAGCUGCAGGAGCUGGUACCUCUGCAGCAGCUGGUUCCUCUCGAGCUGCGGCAGCAGAUUCCUCUGCAGCUGGUUCCUCUGGUGGUGCAGACUUGGGCUCUUCUGGAGCUGCAGCAGCAGGUUUCUCUGCAGCUGGUUCCUCUGGUGGUGCAGACUUGGGCUCUUCUGGAGCUGCAGCAGCAGGUUUCUCUGCAGCUGGUUCCUCUGGAGGUGCAGACUUGGGCUCUUCUGGAGCUUGCACGGCUUCAGUUACUGCUGCCACAGCUGACCCCACAGCUUCCUCUAUCACAUUGCCUGCCUCAGUGGUCACACUAGCUUCUGCGGGCGAGGCUCCGUCCUCCACUUUAGCUGACUCUUCCGCACCACCAGCAGUCGCAGGGGUCCCGUCCUUCAGCUCUUUUGGAUCGCUCACAUCGUAUCCUUUCCUCUUCCUGCUCAGUUUGUUUCCCAUGAUGUCUCCUAGGAACAAUUAGACAAAGGUGUAUUUUAAUAUGAGAGAGAAAACAGUGUUUAAAAGCGGCCGAGCUCUUAUACAUCUAGUUUAAAUGUAUACACCACACAAUUCCAAAAUUCACAAUGCAUUUGACGUAGUUCCUUCAAAUGUAACUGUGUUUUUGUCAGAAAGGAGCAUUGAGAGGAGUCUAUUGUCUUGAAGUAAACUGGAAGUUCAAUGAGGAAACUGCCAAACAGUUCGGCUAGAACCCAAAUGUAAAUGCAUGGGAACCUUAUUUAGAGUAGACAACUCAACAGAGCCUCUACCCUUUCAGGAAUGUUGAGUAAGGCUCAAUGCCAAAUGAGCCUACAACUCUUAGUUGAACAUCAUGCUGUAGAUGUACAACUAUUUCUCUUUCCGCAUGUUAAGGAUACAAUCUUGAGUAGCUUUGGGUCUUUCAUAACCCGAAGCUACAUUCAAUAACAACAUAUGAAUCACAGAAAGGCAACAUAAUCUGCAAAUAUAACAAUAAUAUACAAGCUUGUCGCACACUGGUUCUUUGUGUGAAUGUGUCAACACUCCUGUGGCUGUGUAGAGGAAGAGUUUCUGAUUGCAACAGAGUGGAGCUUCCCUUCAGUGGAAGAAAAGAGAACUGGAAGUUCAACUUUAUCUUAGUGAUAAUGUUUCAGCUGACGCUGAACAAAUCGAAAGAGUCCUUAAACAGAUAGAGAUCACAGAUAACAUUCACUUUAAACACCACAGCCUGACAAUGUUAGUUGGUUAUUUUGGUUUCAGAGACGCUAUUCCAAGGAAAGCUGAAAAUAUAGGAAAUUACAUCCAAAAUGCUACAAGUGGGACUUUCUCAGAAGAUAUGAAUAAUCUGGGAACUGUCCACAGUGCUGCAAUGGGUCAAUCAUGACAGGAUGUACCAUGAUGGGAUACUAGCUGUACAUCCAUUACACGGUCAAAUGAACGGGCCAAUGGUUAAAAGGAACCCAUUUUAUCUGCUUUUGAACCACAACAAAAAACUAAUUCUGCUAACAUCAGGCGUAAUCAGGCGUUUUCGUUUUUCAUGUGAUUAAUUUCAAAUGUUCCCUUUCUUUGCCAAACCCUGUUGGUCCUCCAGCCUUAAAAUCAAACAAAGCCAAAAUGUACCGCUUAAAGAUAAAGCCCUGACUUUUAGAUUAAAUCAUUGCGGACAUUUUCCGAGCCAAUUUCAGUAUUAAGCACGUCAAUACAGUCCGCAAAAAAAAAAAAUCUUUACACACAUUCAGAGAGAUAAAGACACCAGGUGGUCGGCAGCAUGUGCGCGCCGGUAACAAAGGAUGAGGAUUCCUCACCAGUAGACCCUCGCCCACAAAAAGUAAUGCGUUGUGCUGAAGUGCCAGCAAACGCUAAAUAGACCUGUACUGUAGUGUGUGGGGUGGGUACGUGCCCGUGAGUAUUAAACGAUAUAGAUUGGAGCGAUAAAGGCUGUAGAGGGGUCUCCAUCCCCCAUUUCCACCCGCCCACCGCUGCUCCUCUCAGCU